rnacentral:rRNA from 1 species
GUAGGUGGCAAGCGUUGUCCGGAAUUAUUGGGCGCAAAGCGCGCGCAGGGCGGUCCUUUAAGUCUGAUGUGAAAGCCCACGGCUCAACCGUGGAGGGUCAUUGGAAACUGGGGGACUUGAGUACAGAAGAGGAAAGCGGAAUUCCGAGUGUAGCGGUGAAAUGCGUAGAGAUUUGGAGGAACACCAGUGGCGAAGGCGGCUUUCUGGUCUGUAACUGACGCUGAGGCGCGAAAGCGUGGGGAGCAAACAGGAUUAGAUACCCUGGUAGUCCACGCCGUAAACGAUGAGUGCUAAGUGUUAGGGGGUUUCCGCCCCUUAGUGCUGCAGCUAACGCAUUAAGCACUCCGCCCGGGGAGUACGGCCGCAAAGGCUG